CACGUAGCUUAUCAACUCACCAGGCAGCUUAUCAACUCACCAGGUAGCUUAUCAACUCACUACGCAGCUUAUCAACUCAAAAGGUAGCUUAUCACCUCACCAGGUAACUUAUUAACUCACCAGGUAGCUUAUCAACUCACCAGGUAGCUUAUCAACUCACCAGGUAGCUUAUCAACUCACCACGUAGCUUAUCAACUCACCACACAGCUUAUCAACUCACCACGCAUCUUAUCAACUCACCACGUAGCUUAUCAACUCACCACGUAGCUUAUCAACUCAUCACGUAGCUUAUUCUUAAUGUUUGUCCGUAGGCUACCAGGGUGGAUAAAUGUGGUGAGUGAAAAACGUAAUGAAAUUGCCCACUCCCUACCCGGUAACUUAUUCUGCCGCUAUACAACUCUGUAUGCGCUGUUUGUUGGUUUUUGGAACAUAUUCCGGUUGGAACGUUCCACAAAUUAUAACCUACACCUCUGUUCUCCAGUCUCAAUUCAAUGACAGUCUUCUUAAUGACUCAGUUCACCAGUCUCAACCAGUCUCUCUCUUCACCGAUAGCCCUCAGACUCUUCGUGCUCUGGUCGCUAUGGUUACAGUCAGAAUCCAUGGAGUGGGUUGUGGAGAGAGAGACAGAGAGAGAGAGAGAGACAGAGAGAGAGAGACAGAGAGAGAGAGAGAGAGACAGAGAGAGAGAGACAGAGAGAGAGAGAGAGAGAGAGGGAGAGAGAGACAGAGAGGGAGAGAGAGAGAGAGAGGGAGACUGGAUUUGAAGCUUCUGAAAGUACCAAGGGUCUGAGAAGAACAACAGGAAGUGGUCUGAGAAGAACAACAGGAAGUGGUCUGAGAAGAACAACAGGAAGUGGUCUGAGAAGAACAACAGGAAGUGGUCUGAGAAGAACAACAGGAAGUGGUCUGAGAAGAACAACAGGAAGUGGUCUGAGAAGAACAACAGGAAGUGGUCUGAGAAGAACAACAGGAAGUGGUCUGAGAAGCACAACAGGAAGUGGUCUGAGAAGAACAACAGGAAGUGGUCUGAGAAGAACAACAGGAAGUGGUCUGAGAAGAACAACAGGAAGUGGUCUGAGAAGCACAACAGGAAGUGGUCUGAGAAGAACAACAGGAAGUGGUCUGAGAAGAACAACAGGAA
rnacentral:lncRNA from 1 species